AUUGAACGCUGGCGGCAGGCCCAACCCAUGCAAGUCGAGCGAGCGGCGGACGGGUGAGUAAUGUAUGGGGACUGCCAGAUAGAGGGGGAUAACUACUGGAAACGGUGGCUAAUACCGCAUCCUAUCGGAUAACCCAUAUGGGUUUAGAUAGUAGGUGGGGUAAAGGCUCACCUAGGGGACGAUCUCUAGCUGGACUGAGAGGAUGAGCAGCCAACCUGGGACUGAAACACGGCCCAGACUCCUGCGGAGGCGGCGGUGGGGAAUAGUGAACAAUGGGCGCAAGCCGGAUGCAGCCAUGCCACGUGAAUGAAGAGGGCCUUCGGGUUGUAACGUUCUUUCUGUAGCGAGUCGUUAACUACAGAAGAAGCACCGGCUAACUCCGUGCCAGCCGCCGCGGUAAUAC
rnacentral:rRNA from 1 species